rnacentral:rRNA from 1 species
AUUGAACGCUGGCGGCAUGCUUUACACAUGCAAGUCGAACGGUAACAGGCCUUCGGGUGCUGACGAGUGGCGCACGGGUGAGUAAUGCACCGGAACGUGCCCAGAGGUGGGGGAGAACGCAGCGAAAGCUGUGCUAAUACCGCAUGUGAUCUGAGGAUGAAAGCGGGGGACCAGGCAGCAAUGUUUGGCCUCGCGCCUUUGGAGCGGCCGAUGUCAGAUUAGGUAGUUGGUGGGGUAAAGGCCUACCAAGCCGACGAUCUGUAGCUGGUCUGAGAGGACGACCAGCCACACUGGAACUGAGACACGGCCCAGACUCCUACGGGAGGCAGCAGUGGGGAAUUUUGGACAAUGGGCGCAAGCCUGAUCCAGCAAUGCCGCGUGCGGGAAGAAGGCCUUCGGGUUGUAAACCGCUUUUGUACGGAACGAAAAGGCUCUGGCUAAUACCUGGGGCUGAUGACGGUACCGUAAGAAUAAGCACCGGCUAACUACGUG